GAUGAACGCUGGCGGCGUGCCUAAUACAUGCAAGUCGAGCGAACAGGCGAGGAGCUUGCUCCUUCGACGUUAGCGGCGGACGGGUGAGUAACACGUAUGUAACCUACCUAUAAGACGGGGAUAACUUCGGGAAACCGGAGCUAAUCCCGGAUAAUAUUUCGAAGCGCAUGGUUCGAUAGUGAAAGACGGCUUUGCUGUCACUUCUAGCUGGACCUGCGCCGUAUUAGCUAGUUGGUAAGUUAACGGCUUACCAAGGCAACGAUACGUAGCCGACCUGAGAGAGUGAUCGGCCACACUGGAACUGAGACACGGUCCAGACUCCUAAGGGAGGCAGCAGUAGGGAAUCGUCCGCAAUGGGCGAAAGCCUGACGGAGCAACGCCGCGUGAGAGAUGAAGGUCUUCGGAGCGGAAAACCCUGUUAUUAGGGAAGAACAAAUGUGUAAGUAACUGUGCACGUCUUGACGGUACCUAAUCAGAAAGCCACGGCUAACUACGUG
rnacentral:rRNA from 1 species